GCUAAAUCCGGGCAAGCGUCCGGGUGAAUACGGGGGGUGGAAGCGUUAUCCGGGUUUAUGGGGUGUAAAGGGUCGGUAGGCGGGUUCGUAAGGCAGUGGUGAAAGCCGUCAGAUUAACUGUAGAACUGCCGUUGAUACUGCGAGUCUUGAGUAAAUUUGAAGUGGCUGGAAUAAGUAGUGUAGCGGUGAAAUGCAUAGAUAUUACUUAGAACACCAAUUGCGAAGGCAGGUCACUAAGAUUUAACUGACGCUGAUGGACGAAAGCGUGGGGAGCGAACAGGAUUAGAUACCCCAGUAGUC
rnacentral:rRNA from 1 species